AAUGAACGCUGGCGGCGUGCCUAACACAUGCAAGUCGAGCGAUUUACUUCGGUAAAGAGCGGCGGACGGGUGAGUAACGCGUGGGUAACCUGCCCUGUACACACGGAUAACAUACCGAAAGGUAUGCUAAUACGAGAUAAUAUGCUUUUAUCGCAUGGUAGAAGCAUCAAAGCUUUUGCGGUACAGGAUGGACCCGCGUCUGAUUAGCUAGUUGGUAAGGUAACGGCUUACCAAGGCGACGAUCAGUAGCCGACCUGAGAGGGUGAUCGGCCACAUUGGAACUGAGACACGGUCCAAACUCCUACGGGAGGCAGCAGUGGGGAAUAUUGCACAAUGGGCGAAAGCCUGAUGCAGCAACGCCGCGUGAGCGAUGAAGGCCUUCGGGUCGUAAAGCUCUGUCCUCAAGGAAGAUAAUGACGGUACUUGAGGAGGAAGCCCCGGCUAACUACGUGCCAGUCGCCGCCGUAA
rnacentral:rRNA from 1 species